UUAUUUAUGUGUCAAAUGUAACGUUUUAUAGAGUAGAGGAUUAGAUUUAUUUGCACAAAAUUAUUAGUGUAGCUCAUUGUACCAUAAGAAUUCGUUUUAAAUUCAUGAAGAAAUGGAUGGUGCGGUCCCCUACUUCGGGAUAUUCGAUAAAUAUUCUAAGAGAUUUACAUUUGUGGAUGGAUUUUACCAUUUUUGGCAUAAAGAAUGUUUCAAACUGGCUCAGAAAAAUGAAAUGGGCGAAUCUGAAACCAAUUGCGAAAUCCCCUUGAAGAAUGUUGGUUCGGGAAGAUGUAUGAGUAUUCAGGCUAUGCAAGCACUGUUUGAAUUAAAGGAAAACAAUCAACUUUGUGAUGCUACUUUAAUUCUGGAUGAUGGAACGGAAGUACCGGUACACAGAGCAAUUUUAUGUGCUUGCAGUUCUUAUUUCAGGGCUUUGUUUACAACAAGUUUACAAAAUCGAGAGAAACAUAGAGUACAUUUGUCAGGAAUUACAUCGGAUAUGCUACACAAACUGUUGGUUUACAUAUAUUUAAGAAAAUUAGAUAUCAAUGAAGAUAACGUAUACUCAGUGCUGAUAACAGCUGACUACUUAAGUAUUUUAGGUGUUCUCGAUCUAUGCUGCCAAUUUUUAGAAGAACAUCUUACACCUAAAAACUGUUUAGGAACCUUGAGUUUCGCUCAAAGUCAUUUUUGCAGAGAUCUGUCUAAUAACUCCUGGAAAUAUAUAAUGAAAAAUUUUGCCCAGAUUGCCGUCGAAAGCGAUGAAAUUUUAUCUCUAUCUUUGAAUCAGAUUCAAGAUAUUAUAAACUCUGAUGAUUUAAACGUAAAAAGUGAAGAAACUGUAUGGGAGGUAAUCCUUAGGUGGAUCGAUCACGAUACUGAAAAUAGGAGGAAACAUAUUGUUGAAUUAAUGAAAUGUAUAAGGUUGGGAUUGCUGGAUACCCAAUUUUUUUUAGAACAUGUGAAGGAACAUCCCUACGUUUCAAGUUCAGAAGAAAGCCGGCCUAUGAUUAUUGAAACGUUAAAGUUUUUAUACGAUUUGGAAAUGAUUACACAUAGUCCGAAUAAUAUCAGAAGCGGUAGUCAGUUCCUAAUAAUUUGGUCUCCUAGAGAUGGAGAAGUCAUAACACCUGAAAUAGCUCGACCCAGAGUUCCUCACGAAAUCCUCUUCGCUAUUGGUGGUUGGAGCGGUGGAUCACCAACAAACUUUAUCGAAACAUAUGACACCCGAGCAGACCGAUGGGUCAAAGUCGAAGAAGUUGAUCCAGCAGGCUCCCGAGCCUACCAUGGUACAGCUGUUGUUGGUUUUAAGAUAUACGUAAUCGGAGGAUUUGAUGGUAUGGACUAUUUCAAUUCAUGUAGAUGUUUUGAUGCUGUUACUAAAACCUGGAAAGAGGUAGCUCCAAUGCACUCUAGAAGAUGUUAUGUUAGUACUUCUGUUCUGAAAGGUACAAUUUACGCUAUGGGUGGAUACGACGGACAUAGUCGAAAAAAUAGUGCUGAGAAAUAUGAUCAUAGAACUAACCAAUGGUCCCUUAUAGCUCCAAUGAACAUGCAGCGGUCAGAUGCAAGUGCUUGUAACCUUGACGGCAAAAUCUAUAUAACUGGUGGCUUUAAUGGCCAAGAAUGCAUGCAUUCGGCAGAAGUGUAUGAUCCUGAACUAAACCAAUGGUCGUUAAUAAGUCCAAUGCGGUCACGUCGUUCUGGAGUAAGCUGUAUUGCUUACCAUGGCUCAGUAUAUGUGAUUGGAGGUUUUAAUGGUAUAUCUAGAAUGUGCAGUGGAGAAAAAUUUAAUCCAUUAACAAACACGUGGACACCCAUACCUGAUAUGUAUAAUCCUAGAAGCAACUUUGCCAUUGAAGUAAUCGACGAUAUGAUCUUCGCUAUUGGUGGUUUCAAUGGUUAUGGUUUAGGUUAUCCUCCUACUCAACGAAAAAAAAUGUGCAACAAAUCCAUCAGCUGAAUUCAGUAGGCUUUGGUUGCCAAUACUAAAAGAAGAGUCAAAAACAAGAACAUACCAACAACAGCGGAAUAAAAGAAGUUGAAGAACAAACCAUUGAAAAUCUCAUACACAAUAAAUAAGCAAAACACAACACAAACAUGAACAAAAUAAACGUCAAAACAUCAGUUAAUUAAAUAAUGAGUGACGACAAUAUAUCAUGUCGAAUGUUACGAUGAUAAAACCAAUGAAUGGUAUGAAGCUACCGAUAUGAAUAUCUACAGAUCAGCCUUAUCAGCCUGUGUUAUUGAUGGAUUACCAAACGUUCAUGAUUAUAUACACAAACAUAG
rnacentral:misc_RNA from 1 species